CUUAGUUAAACCUCUCAGAUUUCCCGAUAGAAAAUAUCAUCGCGAAUACCAAGUCUCAAGCUUUCUAACUGAAACGCCUGCCUGUGAUAACCGAGUUGCAAAAUGCAAGGUUCGCUCAAUGUCAAGACAUCUUACACGUAUGUACCUAUAUGGAUGGCAGGCCAAGAUCGACCACGUGACACGAGUUUCUGAUUAUGUUAUAGAAGCGCGUUGUGAUGGUAUUUGUGGUGGAUGCAGACCUGAUUCAAAGAUAACCUUUGUACUGGAUUCUAGUUAUGUCCCGCCUUUGAAUGAUGCUACAGUUGUGAGCUGUAAUGGGAAUUAGUCUGAAACUAUGUUGUUAGAAACAAUUUGCAUAAACAAUCCAUUUGCUAUAGGGUGGUGUGAAUCAAAGUACCAACGCCAAGCGCGGAUCACUCCAUUUUGGUAUAUCCAUAUCCGUUCAUAUUUUGAUACAUUCUGAUAUGGUGCCCGUUUAUAUUUUAAUUUAGAAAGACUAUAUCUAAGGUAAUGGAGGAUUUGAGUUUUUUUUUAUGUUGAAGCUUUCAUAUUUAAAUAAUGUCAAUAAAGGGAUGAAUUAAUGUUAAAAUGUUC